GGGAAAUUUAAGGGACAUCAUCAAUAAGGGACAGCAGCGGGACAUGGCACUGGGAUAAGGGAGUUUUCCGCCAAAUAAGGGACGGUUGACAGCUAUGGUAGUGACUGGCCCAGCAUCACCCACUGAGUGUUGUAGCUGAGUGGGGAUUUGAACCCUGGUCUCCCAGGUCAUGGUCUGACACUCUAACCACUACACCACAUUGAAUUGCUAAACAAUGUUAUAACAUUGGGGAAAGUGUUGUAUUGAUUAGUGAGGCUAAAAUGCAAAAAUGCAUUAUAUUGGGGCAGUUUUUGUGUGUGUGUGUGUGAAUUUGAAUGAGGACUUAUAUUGCAAACUGAUGUGGGACUGUGGAAAACUGAAUUUAAGAUUGGGAAAAAGAGGGAGAAAUUGAAAUUGGCAGAUUCUUUUACUCAGCGUAGACCCAUUGAAAUAAUGGACCUGAACUAGUCAUGUUUGUGUGGGGGUUUGCAGUCAAAAUAACAACACAUUCUUACUGUUUAGUAAUUCUAGGGACUAGCAACAACAGUGCUGCAAAUUACUAGACAGGUGGAUUGCAAAGAAAAGCAAUGUAACUGUCAGAGACAGAGCUCUAUGUGAUGUCACUUCCCUUGAGUUACCUGGUGGGAAAAAGACGAAAGGUUUUAAUUUUUUCUGCUGCCUCAGAACUCAUUCUUUCUUCCUACCAUGCUUCUGAGGCAGACAGAUGUCCAUGUGGUCUCCGCUCCAGUGGAGAGUCCAUUUUUAAAAAACUCAAUUAUGUGUUUUGUAAUCUAGAAGUAGAAUUUGCCCGACUUAUUUUGGUUGCUACUGCUGCUGCUGGAAUUGAGUGCAAGACUUUAUGUAAGUAAACACUAUUUUUAUGCUUACUUUACAGUCUGCUACGUGAGUCUUUUAUUAAGAAAGGAAAAGGGGGGGAGGGAUCCAGACUGUUACCACAGCCUGGCUAAAUAAAAAUAAGGCUAUACAGCCUAGUUUCAAAGUUUCCAGUUUAAUGUUGCAAGGGAUGGUGUUUUAAACUCUGCUAAUUGUUUUGAGUUAAACACUUAACUGAUUACUUUAAAUGUUCUGCACACACAUGCAACAGGGAGAAUAAUUGCAAGACAAUAUAUCCUAUCCUACCUACAAAAUCCGUCAUUUCAAUGGGUCUCCUCUGGGUAUAGGACUAGCUUUGGAUACAAACCUUGUGUCUCUUUCUGGAUUGAGUAUCACGUAAGAUGACUGAUGGGUUUCUAAAACCCUUCCUCACCAGCAUCCCUUACUCGUACACCAUCUUUCUCUCCACUCUCUGAAAUAAUGACAUGAUGCACUGAGUGCCCCUGCUGCUCACAUGUGCCGCCAGAAAAUUGCUAUAUCAGGACUGCACAGCUGGAAAGAGCUCAGGGUUUGCUGGAACAGCCCAAAGCUAAUAAACAUCAUAGCUGGGUUUCUGUAAGCCCUGUGUUCUCUUGUCUCCUACCUGUACAUCAUCUCCAUUUUGGGAAUAGGAAAAUGGUAUACAAGGCAUUCAUAUCACUCUAAGGUCCCAUCUGCACCAUGCAUUUAAAGCACUAUGGUGCCACUUUGAACAGUCAUGGCUUCCCCCAAAUAAUCCUGGGAAGUGUAGUUUGUUAUGGGUGCUGGGAAUAGCUUUGUGGGAGAGGGCUAGUUCCCAGGUUCCUUUGGGGAAAGUCAAGUGCUUUAAUUCUUCAUCCUUCCAUUGUUGGAGGCAGCAAUGCCUCUGUGGAAGCAAAGUGUAUGGUUCUGGGAUCUGCAAGGCCUGAGCUGGUUUCUAUCUUAAAGCCACAUUUCCCUUAGAGUGGGAAGACAGGUCAAAAUGAAGGUGAGUGAAAGGUGGAAGGAAGGAUGAAAUGUUUGGGUGCUAUUGACAAGUGAUGCUGCUUUCCUGCAAAGCUACUUUCUUGUUUCUUAUUAACCAUGUUGUGAUAACUUUGUUAUUCCUAUAUGUAAGCAGAACACCCUGUUGAUCAGUUCAGAAGAGACGACUAGCUUGAGGAGACGUUUGAUCUGCUAAUCAUAAUGCAAAACCUUGAGUUCCUUCCACACUUCUGAAUAAAAGUGGCUGGAAACCACAGUGAGGGGAGUGCUCUUGUGCUUGGGUCCUGAAUGCGGGUUUCUCUCAUGGAUAUGAUUGGCCACAGUGAGAAGAGGAUGCUGGACUAGGUGGGCAAUUGAUCUGAUCCAACAGGUUCUUCUUAUGUUCUUAAGAAGGCCUUAGUUAUAAUCACUCAUUAGCCUGAAUCCUGGAAGGUUAGAACCCCUUCACAUUUCUAACAUAAAUGACAAAGGUUUUGGGGAAAAGAAGACCUGGAGGGCUUCUUCCUCUGGAGAGUUUGGCUGAGUGCUGUUAAAUAAGACCAUCCUUGUUGACUUUGCCCAAUUCCACAGGGAACUUCUAUAAAAUAUUGUCCAGGUAGAUUAUAAUGGAUGGCAGUGAUGGUCACCAACUUGGAUGGCUUUGAAAGAAGAUUUGACAAAUUCAUGGUGGAGGAUGAGACUUUCAAUGGCUAGUAGCCACAAUGGCUAUGUUCUACCUUCACUGUUGGAGGCAGCAUGCCUCUGAAGACCAGUUGCUGAGAAUCACAUUAGGGCAUAUGGUUGGCAACUGUAAGAACCAGCCGGAAUCACUGUUCACUAUGUCUGUUUGCGGACCACUUCAGCAGUGUUUGACAUCAUAAAACAAAGCUUUAUGGCUUGUUUUUACCAGAUAAGAAUCUGAUCCAUUGCUUCUUUCAGAAACUUGCAUAGUCUACAAAGAUUUUCAGAGACUUAUACGACUUAUGUUUAUUUGGUUCUAUGUUUUCAAGAGAAUCCAUCAAGAGUGCACAUUUUGUGACUUUCAGAGAUUUAUAAGAUUUCUGUUU
rnacentral:lncRNA from 1 species